rnacentral:misc_RNA from 1 species
UUUUUACUUUUUGCAGGUAUAAUGCACACUACCAUCUGUUUCAAGCUGUUAAUUUAAUGCAUGUUAUGUAGUUAACAGCCGACUGCUGUAAUAUCCGUCCUAGCAGGUAAAUUUACUUAUAAUUAGUUAAAAAAAUAAGAGUCGACUUAGAGGUCAACUCUUCAGAAAUUGCUUAGAUAAAAUGAUGAUAAUAUGAAAACGCGUCGUCGCAGCAGUCACAGUAGCUACUAGUUCCCGCCAAGACAGACAUUUGUUCGCCAUAAUAUGGAUGUUUUUCGUUGUUUGGGCGUUUGUGCUUAUGUAUUGUUUGUAAAAUUCUACUGGGGGCUGUUGAGUUUGAAGCGUUUAUAAAAAGAAAAAAAAAAAUAAAUCGCGUAAAAUCGUGUUUAUAUGUGUGAAGCUGCAUAAUGGUAAUAAUUCUUCAAUUGCGCUCAUAAUCAGUUGUCUUUAGUUCCCAAUCGACAAAACAAGUACAAGAACAGUCGUUUGUGAAUAAUACACUUACAUACAUAUGUUAUAUUUUUUUUAACUAGCUGUGCUCGCAACUUCGUCCGCGUGGGAUUUAACAAAAAGUUAUUGUUUUGUUCGCAGAGUUAUAAAAUAAAUAAAUUUCUAAAAUAAAAGU